AGCAGCCGCGGUAAUUCCAGCUCCAAUAGCGUAUAUUAAAGUUGUUGCAGUUAAAAAGCUCGUAGUUGAAUUUCGGGAUUGGCGCAUCGGUCGUGCCUCACGGGGUAUGAACUGGUGCAGUCAAUUUCUCACCUUCUGGAGAACCGCGAUGUCCUUAAUUGGAUGCCGCGGGGAACCAGGACCUUUACUUUGAAAAAUUAGAGUGUUUAAAGCAGGCAUUUUUGCUUGAAUACAUUAGCAUGGAAUAAUAAAAUAGGACGGCAUGGUUCUAUUUUGUUGGUUUCUAGGACCACCGUAAUGAUUAAUAGGGAUAGUUGGGGGCAUUAGUAUUCAAUUGUCAGAGGUGAAAUUCUUGGAUUUAUUGAAGACUAACUACUGCGAAAGCAUUUGCCAAGGAUGUUUUCAUUAAUCAAGAACGAAAGUUAGGGGAUCGAAGACGAUCAGAUACCGUCGUAGUCUUAACCAUAAACUAUAGCCGACUAGGAAUCAGACGAUGUUAAUUUUUUAAUAGUACUCGUUU
rnacentral:misc_RNA from 1 species